GAUGAACGCUAGCGGUGCGCCUAAUACAUGCAAGUCGAGCGCCCUCACUUUGCCUUUGAAUCUUUCGAAGUCAGUGUGAGGGAGCGGCGAACGGGUGAGUAACACGUUGGAACCUACCCCAGACUCAGGGAUAGCCUACCGAAAGGUGGAUUAAUACCGGAUAGUCUCGUAAGAGUAAAGCUUUUGCGGUUUGGGAGGGGCCUGCGGCCUAUCAGCUUGUUGGUAGUGUAAUGGACUACCAAGGCUAUGACGGGUAUCUGGUGUGAGAGCAUGACCAGACACAAUGGAACUGAGACACGGUCCAUACUCCUACGGGAGGCAGCAGUAAGGAAUCUUCCGCAAUGGGCGAAAGCCUGACGGAGCGACACCGCGUGGAGGACGAAGGCCUUUUGGUUGUAAACUCCUUUUCUGGGGGAAUAAAUGAUGAAGGUACCCCAGGAAUAAGCACCGGCUAACUACGUG
rnacentral:rRNA from 1 species